UACGUAGGGGGCGAGCGUUGUCCGAAGUUACUGGGCGUAAAGCGCGCGUAGGCGGCUUUUUAAGUCUGAGGUGAAAGGUUCAGCGCUCAACGUGAACAGUGCCUUGGAUACUGGAAGGCUUGAGUAUGGGAGAGGGAUGCGGAAUUCCAGGUGUAGCGGUGAAAUGCGUAGAUAUCUGGAGGAACACCGGUGGCGAAGGCGGCAUCCUGGACCGGCAUUGACGCUGAGGAGCGAAAGCCAGGGGAGCAAACGGG
rnacentral:rRNA from 1 species